rnacentral:rRNA from 1 species
CAGCAGCCGCGGUAAUACGAAGGGUGCAAGCGUUAAUCGGAAUUACUGGGCGUAAAGCGUGCGUAGGCGGUGAGUUAAGUCUGCUGUGAAAUCCCCGGGCUCAACCUGGGAAUGGCAGUGGAUACUGGCUCGCUAGAGUGUGUCAGAGGAUGGUGGAAUUCCCGGUGUAGCGGUGAAAUGCGUAGAGAUCGGGAGGAACAUCAGUGGCGAAGGCGGCCAUCUGGGACAACACUGACGCUGAGGCACGAAAGCGUGGGGAGCAAACAGGAUUAGAUACCCCGGUAGUCCCUGUCUCUUUACC